rnacentral:tRNA from 1 species
GCGAGAGUGGCGGAAUUGGCAGACGCGCCGGCCUUAGGAGCCGGUGUCCUAACCGACGUGGGGGUUCGAAUCCCCCCUCUCGCA